rnacentral:rRNA from 1 species
UUAAGUUAGAAAGGGCGCACGGUGGAUGCCUUGACACUAGGAGUCGAUGAAGGACGGGACUAACGCCGAUAUGCUUCGGGGAGCUGUAAGUAAGCUUUGAUCCGAAGAUUUCCGAAUGGGGAAACCCACCAUACGUAAUGGUAUGGUAUCCUUAUCUGAAUACAUAGGGUAAGGAAGACAGACCCAGGGAACUGAAACAUCUAAGUACCUGGAGGAAGAGAAAGCAAAUGCGAUUUCCUGAGUAGCGGCGAGCGAAACGGAACAUAGCCCAAACCAAGAGGCUUGCCUCUUGGGGUUGUAGGACAUUCUAUACGGAGUUACAAAGGAACGAGGUAGACGAAGCGACCUGGAAAGGUCCGUCGUAGAGGGUAACAACCCCGUAGUCGAAACUUCGUUCUCUCUUGAAUGUAUCCUGAGUACGGCGGAACACGUGAAAUUCCGUCGGAAUCUGGGAGGACCAUCUCCCAAGGCUAAAUACUCCCUAGUGAUCGAUAGUGAACCAGUACCGUGAGGGAAAGGUGAAAAGCACCCCGGAAGGGGAGUGAAAGAGAUCCUGAAACCGUGUGCCUACAAAUAGUCAGAGCCCGUUAACGGGUGAUGGCGUGCCUUUUGUAGAAUGAACCGGCGAGUUACGAUCCCGUGCGAGGUUAAGCUGAAGAGGCGGAGCCGCAGCGAAAGCGAGUCUGAAUAGGGCGUUUAGUACGUGGUCGUAGACCCGAAACCAGGUGAUCUACCCAUGUCCAGGGUGAAGUUCAGGUAACACUGAAUGGAGGCCCGAACCCACGCACGUUGAAAAGUGCGGGGAUGAGGUGUGGGUAGCGGAGAAAUUCCAAUCGAACCUGGAGAUAGCUGGUUCUCCCCGAAAUAGCUUUAGGGCUAGCCUUAAGUGUAAGAGUCUUGGAGGUAGAGCACUGAUUGGACUAGGGGUCCUCAUCGGAUUACCGAAUUCAGUCAAACUCCGAAUGCCAAUGACUUAUCCUUAGGAGUCAGACUGCGAGUGAUAAGAUCCGUAGUCAAAAGGGAAACAGCCCAGACCGCCAGCUAAGGUCCCAAAGUGUGUAUUAAGUGGAAAAGGAUGUGGAGUUGCUUAGACAACUAGGAUGUUGGCUUAGAAGCAGCCACCAUUUAAAGAGUGCGUAAUAGCUCACUAGUCGAGUGACUCUGCGCCGAAAAUGUACCGGGGGCUAAAUACACCACCGAAGCUGCGGAUUGAUACCAAUGGUAUCAGUGGUAGGGGAGCGUUCUAAGGACAGUGAAGUCAGACCGGAAGGACUGGUGGAGUGCUUAGAAGUGAGAAUGCCGGUAUGAGUAGCGAAAGACGGGUGAGAAUCCCGUCCACCGAAUGCCUAAGGUUUCCUGAGGAAGGCUCGUCCGCUCAGGGUUAGUCAGGACCUAAGCCGAGGCCGACAGGCGUAGGCGAUGGACAACAGGUUGAUAUUCCUGUACCACCUCUUUAUCGUUUGAGCAAUGGAGGGACGCAGAAGGAUAGAAGAAGCGUGCGAUUGGUUGUGCACGUCCAAGCAGUUAGGCUGAUAAGUAGGCAAAUCCGCUUAUCGUAAAGGCUGAGCUGUGAUGGGGAAGCUCCUUAUGGAGCGAAAGUCUUUGAUUCCCCGCUGCCAGAAAAGCUUCUAGCGAGAUAAAAGGUGCCUGUACCGCAACCGACACAGGUAGCGAGGAGAGAAUCCUAAGGUGUGCGAGAGAACUCUGGUUAAGGAACUCGGCAAAAUGACCCCGUAACUUCGGGAGAAGGGGUGCUUUCUUAACGGAAAGCCGCAGUGAAUAGGCCCAAGCGACUGUUUAGCAAAAACACAGCUCUCUGCGAAGCCGUAAGGCGAAGUAUAGGGGGUGACACCUGCCCGGUGCUGGAAGGUUAAGGAGAGGGGUUAGCGUAAGCGAAGCUCUGAACUGAAGCCCCAGUAAACGGCGGCCGUAACUAUAACGGUCCUAAGGUAGCGAAAUUCCUUGUC